rnacentral:rRNA from 1 species
ACGGAAGGCAGCAGUGAGGAAUAUUGGUCAAUGGGCGGAAGCCUGAACUAGCCAAGUCGCGUGAAGGAUGAAGGUAUUAUGUAUUGUAAACUUCUUUAGUCAGGGGGCAAUAAGGCGUACGCGUACGCCGAUGAGAGUACCUGGAGAAUAAGGAUCGGCUAACUCCGUGCCAGCAGCCGCGGUAAUACGGAGGAUCCGAGCGUUAUCCGGAUUUAUUGGGUUUAAAGGGUGCGCAGGCGGCUUUUUAAGUCAGUGGUUAAAUCGUGACGCUCAACGUCAUCACGCCAUUGAUACUGGAGAGCUUGAUUGCGGUCGAGGUUUGCGGAAUUCGUCGUGUAGCGGUGAAAUGCAUAGAUAUGACGAAGAACACCGAUUGCGUAGGCAGCAGACCAGGCCGUAAAUGACGCUCAUGCACGAAAGUGCGGGGAUCGAACAGGAUUAGAUACCCUGGUA